CAUACCACUACAAGUCACCACCACCUCCACACUAUCACCAUAAGUCUCCACCUCCAUACCACUACAAGUCACCACCUCCACCAUCCCCUUCACCUCCUCCUCCUUAUGUCUACAAGUCUCCACACCUCCGUCACGUCACCUCUCUCAUACGUCUAUAAUCUCAACACACAUCUCAUCCCACUCUCCUUAUGUGUACAAUCUCACCACACAUCUCAUNNNNNNNNNNNNNNNNNNNNNNNNNNNNNNNNNNNNNNNNNNNNNNNNNNNNNNNNNNNNNNNNNNNNNNNNNNNNNNNNNNNNNNNNNNNNNNNNNNNNGUUGACAACAAGUGUGCUGGUGAAUAAUAAGGGUCUAGCAGAACCCUUCUUGUAAUCUGUUGUAAGCACUUAUUGUAUUACUUCUUUAAAGAGAUUAAUUGAAUCAAAUGAAAGUGAAGAACAUUAAUUUCAUGUACUUGUUAAUCUAGUAUAUGCCCCUAUGACUUUUGGGUUAAUUAGUUCUGUGCUUCUUUGUUGAAAAGUUAAUGCAUGAUAAUGCAUAUCACUUUAUCAUCGUUAUUAAAUAGUAAACAUGCAUGCAUUUUAUAAUAAAUUUGGUACCUGGAUGUUUCAAGUUGUAACCAAAGCUCAAUUGGCCAGAUACGAAAUCAAAUUUAAGAAUUGUUUAAUCUGAUAGUUGACGUGACUUACUGUUUAUGUUCAUAUGUUUGGGAAACAUUACUGCAAUUGAGUGGACAGAGAUAUGUUUAUGUCCAUUGGGCCUACUCUCGGAACUUAGCUGGCAUGAACAAAUUAAUAGUUGACUACUGGGCACUUAAACAUACCCAAAUUUUUUUAGAGGCUAUUGAUUUUGAGUAGGAAUCCCCGUUGGGUCCGGUCCCAGGCUUAAUCGGGAAGAUUUCGGGGUAAAAUUAGAGGCUGGUAUGUGAAUCUCUAAAUUUUUAAAAUUCCCUGUCAAGGAUGGUAUUGUCACUACAAAAAAAAAGUGGUAACAGUCACCAUUAUUUAGUGACAUUUGCUGGGGCGAUUAAAGGUUUUAGUCACUAAAAAAGUCUUUUUUGGUGACUUCAAAAAUGCCUUUUGUGACUAAAGCCUUUAGUCACCCCAACAAAUAUCACCAAAUAAUGGUCACUAUUGCCACUUUUGUUUUUUUGAGGUGUUAUCCCCUUCUCCAAACCCGGUCUAAUAAGGGAAAUAUUUAUUUGGGUAAAAAAACACUUUUGGCCACUAGGGUUAGAGUUGAAAACGAUUUUGGACAUGGAUCCGUUGUCCCUAUUUUUCAUGUCCCUCCAUGUCCCUUUUCUAAUUUCUUGACAAGUGUCCACCUACUUAACCCCAAACUAAUACUGUUAAUUUGUAAUAAAAUAUUUAAAAAACAUAAAAACUAAAAUCGAAAAACAAAAACCAAGCAGACACCACAACCCCGCCCCACCUCAGCAGCCCCCUGAGCCUCUCCCAUCUUCACCAUCGGCGAAGCAUCCCCUCUUAUUUGUCUCUCUUUCCUUCUUCUAUCUCACUGCCUCUCCUGAAUUUGUUCCUCUUUCCCUCCUCUUUCGUGGUGUGGGUGUGACGAGGAAUAGUGUUUCUAAGCAAUAAUAGUCAUAAUCUCAAAGUUUAAGUCAUAGUGUUUCUAAGCAAUAAUAGUCUUCAGUCACCAUUGAAUUCUACGAGGGUUUAGAUCAAAUCGGCAUCAACAAAAAUUAACAAAUAAUAUUUCAAGGGUUGUGUGACUUGCAACACUUCGUAGAAAAGAUUGGGACAAAAUUCAAAGGAGAGAUAUAUAUAUAUAUAUAUAUAGAGAGAGAGAGCUUCCAUUGAGGGAUCCCUCAAAUAACUUAUUUGAGGAAUACCCCUUGUAGGCCCCACUUCGAAUUGUAUCUCAUUCAUCCAAACAGUCUAUUUUGUAGAUACUCAUUCAAAGAUCAUCUCUACAAAAAAUCACUUGAAUCCGAUAUCAGUUGACCACUCAAUUGAGUUAUUGAAAUUUUAGUACUUUUUUGAAGCACCGUGUUCAUUGAUUUUGUAAGACACAAUUGGAUGUCGAAACGGUUUCCGAUUUGUCUAAUUUUUUGUAAGGAUAAUCUAUGAAUGAAGACCUAAAAAAUAGAUGAUUUGGAUCAUUGGAAAAAAAAAUUGUAAGGUACCCUAAAGGGCGUUCCUCAAAUAAUUUGAGGGAUCCCUCAAUAGAAGGGGAUAUAUAUAUAUUUAUAUAUUAGGAGUCUAAACCAGCGGUUUUAGUAUUUCCUCUUCAGCAAUUGGUGGGCUAUGCUUGUGUACUAGUUCUCCAAUAUCGAAUGUGUGAGGUUGAUUAUGGUAUAGGGCAGAAACAAACAUACCUUACAAGUGAAAUCACAUAGUACUAAACUGGAAUUGAAGUUCUUUUCUCUUUUUCCCCCCCUUUGGGAAGGAUAAUCUCUUUAAAUUGUACGCAGAUGUGUACAAAAUGAGUGGUUUUUGUAUUGUCUAAAACUGAGAAGGGAAAUAUUUUUGCCUAUCUUUUUGGCUCCUUUUUGUGUUUUCUUAUUUGUCGAGGAUAAUAGAAGGGUUGGUUAGAUGAGCAUCGAUCCACGACAAUGUCAACUUAGGCGGUGACCUCUUAGUUGGAAUCGAGAGUCCCUUUUUUGUUUUGGUUAGAAUGAAAACAAAGUCUGCAGUCGAUAUAUACCUUUAACUAAGUUUCCCUUGUUUUUCUUUCUUUGCAUUUGUUUUUCUUCCUUACCGACUAAUACGUACAAACAUGCAUAAGACUUUCAAUCUAAAUUUCAAACUUUUCUAGAAGUAGAGAGAGAGAGAUAGUAUAUAUAUAUAUAUUGAGCCAUCACUUGCCAAGUCUAAUGACACACAAGUAGGACACACACAUUAAAUGCAAGCUUGACCUUAAAUUUUUCUUCCCUCUUACACACAAGGGCCGAUUGAGUGAAAAUAAAAAUAAAAAAUUGAUUUAGAGAGACCAAAAUAUUAAAGAAAAUUUGAUAUUUCUCAAAAUUUUCAAUGUCUAAUAUAUUUUUUUAUUAAAUAUAUGUAAUAUAGUUUAUGUAAUUAACUUACUAUAAAUUUAUAUAAACAAAAACCAUAAUUUGCAGGGUAGUACAAAUAUCCACAAAUAAUUAAUACAAAGAUAGAAGCAUAGUAAGCACGUAAGGUUAAUCCAGAUACAUAGAAAGACACAGUACCGAGAACAUCAAGCGCACAAGGUGUAUCUCCACUAAUUAAUAGCCACAUAAUGCCAAAGAAAUUUUUGCAUAAAAGCUACAAGACUGCAUAAGACAGACAUGAACCGCAGUGCGUAAAACUACCAACACAACUGCAACUUUUAAACUCUCGCAAGUAGAACUUAUAAGUAAGUACCUAGACUACAAACAAACACCCAACUUACAAGAAUUGAUGAAAUUAUUACAACUCAAGAAUAUAUAAACACACAACAAGUGAGUAAAAGUUGCUAAGCCACUAAGCCACCUUGUAUGUCUCUAAAUUUGGCAACGAAACCACCAGUGCAUUGCUACUUCAUCGUCACCAAAGAUUCCAAUGAAAGCCAAAUCACAAGGCUGGGUUUUUUUUUUUUUUUGGAGAAAAACUUAGGUUGGUUUUAUUACUAGAGAAUUCGAAUGGCACAAUUGCUUUUCAGGUUCUCCAUCUUAAUUUGUAAUAGAAGUAACACAUUUAAAAGAUUUAUUUUUCUAGCUCUCAUAAAUAUGGAUGAGGUGAAACCAGCCAAAAGUUCCUCAGUCACACGCUAAACUGAAUAUCUUUAAACCUUAUUACUCUAGGUUGGUAAAAGAAUUUUCUCUUUUUAAUUCUUUGGUGCAACUCGAUCUCUUCUUUAUAGUUUUUUGAGAGUCGAUCACUUUUGACAAAGUGCCAAGUUGCCAACUAUGCUCCUAUUUACAUUACAUUGAAUAAAGAAAAAGAUAAUAUAGUGAGGAUAGAAUAGUUAUUAUCAGUUAUUCUAAAAUAAAAUAAAAUAAAACAAACUAAAAUUAUCCAUAUGUUUCUCCCACAAUUUUUUGUCACUAUUUCUUAUUAUCUACUUCUCGAGCAAUAAUUGUCUCACAUACAAAGCAUUCUAGUAAUAGUAAUAUAAGGACUAAUGAACUAAUGCAAAAACAUUAAGGGCCCUUAAUUGAGUUCGGCAAUUCAAAUCCAAAAAUUCAAUUGGCAAAGUACAAUGUGUGUUUAUUUAUUUGGGUUAAAUAUUUUUUUGGUCACUAGAAAAAAAUUCAGCCAAAUUGGUCACUGUGUUUUCCGAAGUAUACAAUUUAUUGACAUUCUGUUAUCUUUCAUUAAUUGCAGUUUUUUUUAAAAAAAAAAAAAUAGGAAUCACCUUCUGUCUUCUUCCUUUAACUCAACAAGUUAUGGUAUAUUGUGCUAUUAGAGUUCAGCAAAUUGGGGGAAAUCUUGGGUUGAAAUCGAAAUCGUGAGGCAUGAGGAAAAUCAAAAGGCCAAACCAAAUUAAAAUGAAAUCAACAACUUACUAAUAUAUUUUGGUGCUCUAUCACAUUGAUUGUGUCUCCUUGUCAUCCGAAGUCACAAUACAAUUCUCACUCAAUCGAUUCAGGCUUCAAUAUAAUACCCAAUUAUUCGUGACCUUAUACCUCAUCAUUUCGAUUUCAACCCAAAAUUUCCCCCCAUCUUUAAAACUCUUAUAGCACAAUAACCUAACUUGUUGAGUUAGCGAGUUAGAGGAAGAAGACUUGAACGUGCUUCUUGGAAAUAUAAAAAUAAAAACUGCACUUAAUGGAAGUUAACGGUAGAUAACAAAAUGUCUAAAUUGUAAACUUAUGGAAAUAUUGUGAUCAAUCUGACUAAAUUUUUUUCUGAAUGACUAAAUUGAAUUUCCGUGUAAUGACCAAAAAGAUAUUUAAUCCUAUUUAUUUUUAUGAAGCAAAACUCUAAUGUUAAUGGAUGAAAGCUUUACACCUUUUAAUUAGCUAAGCACUUUUGAUAAUCCAGUAAAGUAUUUUUCAUAAUGGGUCAAAGUGUUCAGUUAUAUGCAAGCUAGCGUUCGAACUUUACCUUUUUUUACCAUAUAUAUUUAUUAUUACUUCACUAGUUGCUGGAGAACAGACCAACCCUUUUCAUUUUCACUCUCCAGCCGUACAACACUUACCUACCACACGGUUUGACUUGUCCAUGGCCUUCAUGAAAGAUCAAAGUUGAAAAAUCUUUGUGGGAACCCAAAUUCACUGGUUGAAGCAUGCGAGUUCAACUGAUUGGCAUUUCAAAAUCUCAAAGUCACAUUUGGUAGAAAACUUAAAGCAUCAAUCCAGCCAAUUAUGCUGAAUAAGCAAACAUGUCUUAUUCAAAGAUGAUGUCAAAGAUUGCUAUAAAAGGGAUAGCUUUCUCACCAUUUCCAACCACCUCACUCACAAAACAAGUUCUAAGAACUACAAUUUGUGGCAGAAAUGAGAACCUCAGGACAGCUGAGGCAUUGCCCUACAAUGUUUUAUGCCUUGGCAUUGUGCCUCUUGGCCACAAGUGUGCUUGCCACUACGCCUUAUACUUAUUCUUCACCACCUCCACCAAAGCACUUGGAGACCCCUCCAACCCAUUACAAGUCCCCCCCACCACCGAAGUAUGUAAAACAUCCACCACCUCCAUCACCAUCACCCCCGCCACCCUAUUAUAAGUCUCCACCACCGCCUUCUCAUUCGCCGCCUCCUCCUUAUGUGCACAAAUCUCCUCCACCACCCACUCACUCACCACCUCCACCAUAUGCUUACAAGUCACCACCUCCCCCUUCUAAAUCACCACCUCCUCCUUAUGUCCACAAAUCUCCUCCUUAUGUCCACAAGUCACCACCUCCACCAUCAUAUUCUCCUCCACCUCCUUACCACUACAAGUCACCACCACCACCAUCUCCAUCACCUCCCCCUCCAUACCACUACAACUCUCCUCCUCCUCCAGUGAAGUCACCUCCACCUCCCCAAUAUCACUACAAAUCACCUCCACCUCCAAAACACUACUAAGCUUUAUGGGAUUUUAGCGACUUGAACCAGUCCAAAUAAGGUCUUCGUUUCGAUGUUCCAGCGGUAUCACUUCUUUUUCUAGCUUUGUUCUAUUCGCAGACAAGUGUGUUUGUGAAUAAUAAAGGUC
rnacentral:lncRNA from 1 species